rnacentral:misc_RNA from 1 species
UACGAAGGGGGCUAGCGCUGUUCGGAAUUACUGGGCGUAAAGGGCGCGUAGGCGGCUCGUUAAGUCAGGUGUGAAAGGCCUGGGCUCAACCCAGGACGUGCGCCUGAGACUGGCGGGCUUGAGUCCGGGAGAGGAUGGUGGAACUCCCAGUGUAGAGGUGAAAUUCGUAGAUAUUGGGAAGAACGCCCGUGGCGAAGGCGGCCAUCUGGACCGGUACUGACGCUGAAGCGCGACAGCGUGGGGAGCAAACAGG